rnacentral:rRNA from 1 species
GCCAGUGGCUAUAUCACCCUGCAACUCACAACUGUCACAACUGAAGCUAAGCAGGUUGUGAGCCUGGCAAGUACCUGGAUAGGAGACCUCUGAGGAAAGCUAAGGUUGCUACUGGAA